rnacentral:rRNA from 1 species
AUUGAACGCUGGCGGCAUGCCUUACACAUGCAAGUCGAACGGCAGCACGGGAGCAAUCCUGGUGGCGAGUGGCGAACGGGUGAGUAAUAUAUCGGAACGUGCCCAGUCGUGGGGAUAACGUAGCGAAAGCUACGCUAAUACCGCAUACGAUCUAUGGAUGAAAGCGGGGGAUCGCAAGACCUCGCGCGAUUGGAGCGGCCGAUAUCAGAUUAGGUAGUUGGUGAGGUAAAGGCUCACCAAGCCGACGAUCUGUAGCUGGUCUGAGAGGACGACCAGCCACACUGGGACUGAGACACGGCCCAGACUCCUACGGGAGGCAGCAGUGGGAAUUUUGGACAAUGGACGCAAGUCUGAUCCAGCCAUUCCGCGUGCAGGAUGAAGGCCCUCGGGUUGUAAACUGCUUUUGUACGGAACGAAAAGGUUUCUCUUAAUACGAGGAGCUCAUGACGGUACCGUAAGAAUAAGC